UACGUAGGGGGCAAGCGUUGUCCGGAAUUAUUGGGCGUAAAGAGCGCGUAGGCGGUCCGAUAAGUCGGCUGUGAAAGUCAGGGGCUCAACCCUUGGAAGCCGGCCGAUACUGUCGGACUAGAGUCCGGAAGAGGCGAGUGGAAUUCCCGGUGUAGCGGUGAAAUGCGUAGAUAUUGGGAGGAACACCAGUGGCGAAGGCGGCUCACUGGACCGGAACUGACGCUGAGGCGCGAAAGCGUGGGGAGCAAACGGG
rnacentral:rRNA from 1 species